GGCCCCGUCGUCUAAUGGUUAGGACAUGAUCCUUUCACGAUUAAAAUACGGGUUCGAUUCCCGUCGGGGCUG
rnacentral:tRNA from 1 species